UCCUUAUCAAGAGAAGUGGAGGGACAGGCCCUAUGAAGCUUCAGCAACCGGUACAGUCGUACACGGUGCUAAAUCCGACAGAUUAAUUCUGGCAGAUGAGGA
rfam:Turicibacter sanguinis PC909 contig00033, whole genome shotgun sequence.